CCCGCUGAACUUAAGCAUAUCAAUAAGCGGAGGAAAAGAAACCAACAGGGAUUGCCCUAGUAACGGCGAGUGAAGCGGCAACAGCUCAAAUUUGAAAUCUGGCUCUCUUUGGGGGUCCGAGUUGUAAUUUGCAGAGGAUGCUUUGGCAUUGGCGGCGGUCUAAGUUCCUUGGAACAGGACAUCACAGAGGGUGAGAAUCCCGUACGUGGUCGCCUGCCUUUGCCGUGUAAAGCUCCUUCGACGAGUCGAGUUGUUUGGGAAUGCAGCUCUAAAUGGGAGGUAAAUUUCUUCUAAAGCUAAAUACCGGCCAGAGACCGAUAGCGCACAAGUAGAGUGAUCGAAAGAUGAAAAGUACUUUGGAAAGAGAGUCAAAAAGCACGUGAAAUUGUUGAAAGGGAAGCGCUUGCAGCCAGACUUGCCCGCAGUUGCUCACCUAGGCUUUGGCCUGGGGCACUCUUCUGCGGGCAGGCCAGCAUCAGUUUGGGCGGUUGGAUAAAGGCCUCUGUCACGUAUCUUCCUUCGGGAUGACCUUAUAGGGGAGGCGUAAUGCAACCAGCCCGGACUGAGGUCCGCGCAUCUGCUAGGAUGCUGGCGUAAUGGCUGUAAGCGGCCCGUCUUGAAACACGG
rnacentral:rRNA from 1 species